rnacentral:rRNA from 1 species
UACAGAGGGUGCAAGCGUUUGUUCGGAAUUAUUGGGCGUAAAGCGCGUGUAGGCGGCUUUGCAAGUCGGGUGUGAAAGCCCUCAGCUCAACUGAGGAAGUGCGCCCGAAACUGCAGAGCUUGAGUGCCGGAGAGGGUGGCGGAAUUCCCCAAGUAGAGGUGAAAUUCGUAGAUAUGGGGAGGAACACCGGUGGCGAAGGCGGCCACCUGGACGGGUAACUGACGCUGAGACGCGAAAGCGUGGGGAGCAAGCAGG